UGUAGCACGUGUCGCAGCUGUGUCAGGCGACACAGCUGCGACCCGUGCUACAGUGGAAAAUGGGUAUGUCUGUGAAACCCAUCUAGA